rnacentral:misc_RNA from 1 species
ACAAACUUGGUCAUUUAGAGGAAGUAAAAGUCGUAACAAGGUUUCCGUAGGUGAACCUGCGGAAGGAUCAUCAAUGAAAUUUUAAUGAAUUUUUUUUAUAAAGAAAAUAAACAUUUCUUUAUAAAAAAAAAUUCUCUUAUUAUUAUAAACGCCUUUAAUUGUGUGUGAUUUUAAUCAAUUAUCAUUAUUGUUAUUCUUCAAUAAUGAUAAUUUGAUAAAAUUUUUAUACAAAUUAGUUUUUAUAAUCUAUAAAAAACAAACAACUUUUAACGAUGGAUCUCUUGGCUCUCGCAUCAAUGAAGAACGCAGC